UUCACCAACACUAGUGUUGAUCUGCAAAACAGAACAGAAACUGCAAUAAGAAACAAAAAACAGAAACUGCAAACAUAAACAAAAUACAAAAACUGCAAUAAGAGACAAAGAAUAGAAACUGCAGUUUUAGUGCGCAAAACUCAAACAUAAGCAAAAACAAAAGGCAGAAACUGCAAUAAUGCCAGCACAAAACAGAAAAACAAACUGCAGAGAUUUAGAUUGGUACCUAAGAUGAAGAAAUUGCCUCUUCAUAAUGUUUGCUACUGA
rnacentral:lncRNA from 1 species